rnacentral:rRNA from 1 species
GACGAACGCUGGCGGCGUGCCUAACACAUGCAAGUCGAACGGAGAAUUAGCAAUAAUUCUUAGUGGCGAACGGGUGAGUAACGCGUAGACAACCUACCCUUUAGAUGGGGACAACACCGCGAAAGUGGUGCUAAUACCGAAUAUUGCUUGAGAAGCGCAUGCUUUUCAAACUAAAGAUGGCCUCUAUUUAUAAGCUAUCGCUAAAGAAUGGGUCUGCGUCUGAUUAGCUAGUUGGUGAGAUAAAAGCUCACCAAGGCAACGAUCAGUAGCGGGUGUGGGGGGAGGAACGGCCACACGGGGACUGAGACACGGACCAGACUCCGACGGGAGGCAGCGGGGGGGAAUCUUCCGAAAUGGACGAAAGUCUGACGGAGCAAGGCCGCGUGGGUGAUGAAGGUUUUCGGAUCGAAAAACUUUGUUUUUAAGGACAAAUGUAUAGAUUGUGAAUAAUGGUUUAUAAUGACGGUACUUAACGAGGAAGCCACGGCUAACUACGUGCCAGCCGCCGCAGUAA